AGACUUACCUGGCAGGGGAGAUAUCAUGAUGACGAAGGUGGUUUUGACAGGGCGAGGUUUAUCCAUUGCACUCCAGAUGGGCUGACCCCUGCAAUUUCGCAAAAUGUGGAAAACUCGACUUCAUAAAUUGUUGUGGUAGUGGGGGAUUGCAUUCGCACUUUCCUCUG
rnacentral:snRNA from 1 species